rnacentral:rRNA from 1 species
CUACGGGGGGCAGCAGUGGGGAAUAUUGCACAAUGGGGGAAACCCUGAUGCAGCAACGCCGCGUGGAGGAUGACACAUUUCGGUGCGUAAACUCCUUUUAUAUAGGAAGAUAAUGACGGUACUAUAUGAAUAAGCGCCGGCUAACUCCGUGCCAGCAGCCGCGGUAAUACGGAGGGCGCAAGCGGUACUCGGAAUCACUGGGCGUAAAGAGCGUGUAGGCGGAUAGAUAAGUCAGGAGUGAAAUCCUAUGGCUCAACCAUAGAACUGCUUUUGAAACUGUUAACCUAGAGUGUGGGAGAGGUAGAUGGAAUUUCUGGUGUAGGGGUAAAAUCCGUAGAGAUCAGAAGGAAUACCGAUUGCGAAGGCGAUCUACUGGAACAUAACUGACGCUGAGACGCGAAAGCGUGGGGAGCAAACAGGAUUAGAUACCCGAGUAGUC